CCCCCACUGUACUGUGAAGCUCAGGGCAAGACUUUCUAAAAGUCUUCUGCCUACACCUGACAUGCUGUCCAGUGUGCACAGUUAUAUGUUGACUGUAUGAAGAUGGUGAAGGCUUUUCUGUAGUUGCAGAUCUCGCAAAAGGGGAGGAAGGCCUUCACCGCUGAACCCGAGCUUUGCCAUUUCGAAGUGCUGAGUCACCUCGUCCUCUCAGGGUCAGACACUUUCACGCAGGAAACGUCCUGCAGAGCACCGCAGCGGGAGCACCGAGCUGAUGUGGAAACUCAGAGAGGAUGCCACUGUUUUGAACUAUUUUGAAGGCACAGCCACCAGAGCUUUAGGGACAGGGUAUUUUAUCACAGCAACAGAAAUGAAACCAAAACAACUCCACAAUAAAAUUCUUGAGUUUCUUGGGGCCAAGAAGAUGACACGAUAAGAUAAAGACACUGGCCAAGCAUGACCUCCAGAGUUUGGCCCUUGCAUAAAGGAGAAAAUUAAUUCCUUCAGUUGUUCUCUGACCUCCACAUGCGUCCUGUAACAUGGGUGUAUGCAUACACAUAAACACACAUCCACACGUUGUUAAAUAAAUAAAAAAAAUAUGUUAACA
rnacentral:lncRNA from 1 species